GNNCNNGUNUANUGCNGUCGACGAUUCCUACGGGAGGCAGCAGUGGGGAAUCUUAGACAAUGGGGGAAACCCUGAUCUAGCCAUGCCGCGUGAGUGACGAAGGCCCUAGGGUCGUAAAGCUCUUUCAGCUGUGAAGAUAAUGACGGUAGCAGCAGAAGAAACCCCGGCUAACUCCGUGCCAGCAGCCGCGGUAAUACGGAGGGGGUUAGCGUUGUUCGGAAUUACUGGGCGUAAAGCGCGCGUAGGCGGACCAGAAAGUCAGGGGUGAAAUCCCGGGGCUCAACCCCGGAACUGCCUUUGAAACUCCUGGUCUUGAGUUCGAGAGAGGUGAGUGGAAUUCCGAGUGUAGAGGUGAAAUUCGUAGAUAUUCGGAGGAACACCAGUGGCGAAGGCGGCUCACUGGCUCGAUACUGACGCUGAGGUGCGAAAGUGUGGGGAGCAAACAGGAUUAGAUACCCUGGUAGUCCACACCGUAAACGAUGAAUGCCAGACGUCGGCUCGCAUGCGGGUCGGUGUCACACCUAACGGAUUAAGCAUUCCGCCUGGGGAGUACGGUCGCAAGAUUAAAACUCAAAGGAAUUGACGG
rnacentral:rRNA from 1 species